GACGAACGCUGGCGGCGUGCCUAAUACAUGCAAGUCGAGCGGACUAAUGGGAGCUUGCUCCGUUAGUUAGCGGCGGACGGGUGAGUAACACGUGGGCAACCUACCUUUAAGACUGGGAUAACUUCGGGAAACCGGAGCUAAUACCGGAUGACAUAAAGGAACUCCUGUUCCUUUAUUGAAAGAUGGCCUCGGCUAUCACUUACAGAUGGGCCCGCGGCGCAUUAGCUAGUUGGUGAGGUAACGGCUCACCAAGGCGACGAUGCGUAGCCGACCUGAGAGGGUGAUCGGCCACACUGGGACUGAGACACGGCCCAGACUCCUACGGGAGGCAGCAGUAGGGAAUCUUCCGCAAUGGACGAAAGUCUGACGGAGCAACGCCGCGUGAGCGAUGAAGGCCUUCGGGUCGUAAAGCUCUGUUGUUAGGGAAGAAUAAGUGCUAGUUGAAUAAGCUGGCACCUUGACGGUACCUAACCAGAAAGCCACGGCUAACUACGUGC
rnacentral:rRNA from 1 species